AUGGCUGCGGUAGAUUUUGAUCUAAAAUUUACCUAUGUACUUGCGGGUUGGGAGGGAUCAGCUCAUGAUGCCCUUAUACUUGCAAAUGCAUUGGAGAGGGAAGAUGGGUUGAAAGUUCCUACAGGAAAAUUCUUCCUUGUUGAUGCGGGGUAUGCUAUGAGGCCGGGUUUUCUUCCACCAUACCGUGGCACGAGGUACCACUUGAAAGAGUAUGGACGAGGGAACCAUCCUCAAAAUGCUAAAGAGUCGUUCAAUUUAAGACACUCUUCUUUGAGGACAACGGUUGAAAGGGCUUUUGCCGCAUACAAAAAUCGUUGGAAGUUUGUCUACAAUAAGCCGUUCCAUGAUUACAAGACCCAAGUAAAAGUAGUGCUAGCUUGUGCAAUUCUUCACAAUUAG
rnacentral:rRNA from 1 species